rnacentral:rRNA from 1 species
AAACCAGCACCUCAAGUGGUCAGGAUGAUUAUUGGGCCUAAAGCAUCCGUAGCCUGUUAUGUAAGUUUCCGGUUAAAUCCACUAGCUCAACUAGUGGGCUGCCGAAAAUACUGUAGAACUAGGGAGUGGGAGAGGUAGACGGUAUUCGGUAGGAAGGGGUAAAAUCCUUUGAUCUAUUGAGGACCACCUGUGGCGAAGGCGGUCUACCAGAACACGUUCGACGGUGAGGGAUGAAAGCUGGGGGAGCAAACCGGAUUAGAAACCCGAGUAGUCC